rnacentral:rRNA from 1 species
UACGGAGGGGACUAGCGUUGUUCGGAAUUACUGGGCGUAAAGCGCACGUAGGCGGAUCGUUAAGUCAGGGGUGAAAUCCUGGGGCUCAACCCCAGAACUGCCUUUGAUACUGGCGAUCUCGAGUCCGGAAGAGGUGAGUGGAACUCCUAGUGUAGAGGUGGAAUUCGUAGAUAUUAGGAAGAACACCAGUGGCGAAGGCGGCUCACUGGUCCGGUACUGACGCUGAGGUGCGAAAGCGUGGGGAGCAAACAGG